rnacentral:rRNA from 1 species
UACGUAGGGUGCGAGCGUUAAUCGGAAUUACUGGGCGUAAAGCGUGCGUAGGCGGUCCGCGAAGUCUGAUGUGAAAGCCCCGGGCUCAACCUGGGAACUGCAUUGGAAACUAACGGGCUCGAGUGUGGCAGAGGGGGGUGGAAUUCCACGUGUAGCAGUGAAAUGCGUAGAGAUGUGGAGGAACACCGAUGGCGAAGGCAGCCCCCUGGGCUAACACUGACGCUCAGGCACGAAAGUGUGGGGAUCAAACAGG